rnacentral:rRNA from 1 species
AGUGAACGCUGGCGGUAGGCCUAACACAUGCAAGUCGAACGGCAGCACAGUAAGAGCUUGCUCUUACGGGUGGCGAGUGGCGGACGGGUGAGGAAUACAUCGGAAUCUACUUUUUCGUGGGGGAUAACGUAGGGAAACUUACGCUAAUACCGCAUACGACCUACGGGUGAAAGCAGGGGAUCUUCGGACCUUGCGCGAAUGAAUGAGCCGAUGUGGGAUUAGCUAGUUGGCGGGGUAAAGGCCAACCAAGUCGCGGAUCCGUAGCUGGUCUGAGAGGAUGAUAGGCCACACUGGAGCUGAGACGCGGUCAAGAGUCCUACGGGAGGCAGCAGUGGGGAAUAUUGGACAAUGGGCGCAAGCCUGAUCCAGCGGUACCGCGUGGGUGACGAAGGCCUUCGGGUUGUGAAGCCCUUUUGUUGGGAAAGAAAAGCAGCAGGUUAAUACCCCGCUGUUCUGACGGUACCCAAAGAAGAAGCACCGGCUAACUUCGUG